rnacentral:rRNA from 1 species
AGUCGAACGGUAGAGUAGCAAUACUCGAGAGUGGCGAACGGGUGAGUAAUAUAUCGGAACGUGCCCAGUCGUGGGGGAUAACGUAGAGAAAUUUACGCUAAUACCGCAUACGAUCUACGGAUGAAAGCGGGGGAUUCGCAAGAACCUCGCGCGAUUGGAGCGGCUGAUAUCAGAUUAGCUUGUUGGUGAGGUAAAAGCUCACCAAGGCGACGAUCUGUAGCUGGUUUGAGAGAACGACCAGCCGCACUGGGACUGAGACACGGCCCAGACUCCUACGGGAGGCAGCAGUGGGGAAUUUUGGACAAUGGGCGAAAGCCUGAUCCAGCAAUGCCGCGUGUGGGAAGAAGGCCUUCGGGUUGUAAACCACUUUUGUACGGAACGAAACGGUUCGCUUUAAUACAGUGGGCUAAUGACGGUACCGUAAGAAUAAGCACCGGCUAACUACGUGCCAGCAGCCGCGGUAAUACGUAGGGUGCGAGCGUUAAUCGGAAUUACUGGGCGUAAAGCGUGCGCAGGCGGUUAUAUAAGACAGUUGUGAAAUCCCCGGGCUCAACCUGGGAAUUGCAUCUGUGACUGUAUAGCUAGAGUACGGUAGAGGGGGAUGGAAUUCCGCGUGUAGCAGUGAAAUGCGUAGAUAUGCGGAGGAACACCGAUGGCGAAGGCAAUCCCCUGGACCUGUACUGACGCUCAUGCACGAAAG